UACGGAAGGCAGCAGUGGGGAAUAUUGCACAAUGGGCGAAAGCCUGAUGCAGCUAUGCCGCGUGUAUGAAGAAGGCCUUAGGGUUGUAAAGUACUUUCAUCGGGGAGGAAAAACAAAACUAAUAAUUUUAUUUCUUGACGUUACCCGAAAAAGAAGCACCGGCUAACUCCGUGCCAGCAGCCGCGGUAAUACGGAGGGUGCUAGCGUUAAUCAGAAUUACUGGGCGUAAAGAGCACGUAGGUGGUUUUUUUAAGUCAGAUGUGAAAUCCCCGGGCUUAACCUAGGAACUGCAUUUUGAAACUGAAAUACUAGAGUAUCGUAGAGGGAGGUAGAAUUCUAGGUGUAGCGGUGAAAUGCGUAGAUAUCUGGAGGAAUACCUGUGGCGAAAGCGGCCUCCUAAACGAAUACUGACACUGAGGUGCGAAAGCGUGGGGAGCAAACAGGGAUUAGAUACC
rnacentral:rRNA from 1 species